UGCGGAUGUGGUAACAGGCUCAGAGUGAAACAGGAAGCUGUGAGGCUCAGCCUACAUCAUUUGCCUUCGAUCUGUUAAGCAAGGUGCUGCUAUAGACACCCCUGGGGAGAGUCUGUGGAAACUGCACUGAAGCAUGAAGACAGACGCUAGCUUGGGAGACGCUGUUUUGGCCAUCGCGUUGUUCACAUCAAUAGGAGCGAUACUUGUCGGCUGUCUCAGCUGCCGAAAGAAAGACAAAAUUGUACAGACAAAAAACUCCUUUUAUGAACAUCAGCAUUUGAAAGCCUAGAUGUCAGUGAGUACACUGUCCUACAGCGUCAAAAGACACUUGGAAAAUGUCCUACAGGAAGAGGCUGGCGACUUGCACUACAUAACUGGCACCCUAACCAAAAGAGCCACAGUGGGGGUCGGAGGAUAACGGUUACACGAUCCAAAAGAGUGACGCACUUUAACAAGCUUUGCGAGACUUCGCACGCAGAGUAAGUGUGCGCCUGAAUGUACAACCUUUGAGGAUAGAUUCUAAUGUGAAUGACCAUCCAUCUGUCGGUAAGUCAAUGGAGAUUCUGUGGAAUAGGGCCCCGUUGGUGGCUAUCAUGGUAAGCAUUGGUUCAAACCAUGGGUUCUGUAGUAUUUCUCUGUAUAGGAGUAAGAACAAGGGAACCAACUGGUGCCCUGAACUCGGGGAAACUCCUUCAGGAUUGUCGGAGAAGCAUUUCAGGUGGCUACAUCAGGAAGCUGGUUAAAAUAAUACCAAGAAUCUGCAAUGCUGUCGUUUCAAUGCUUCUCUUAGUUGUUGCUAUAUUUACUUCAUUGUCUCUAGGCCUGUAAGAUGAAUAUCAUUACUAAAACAGAGACAAAUGCAUUUAAAGCAGGUGUGUCCAGACUUUUCACUGGCACUGUAGUUACAUGUAAUAUACAUAAUUGAUAAUAUAAAUGAUGUAUUAUUGAUAUUUCCAAUAAUACAUUUUUUUCAAAGGUACUGCUGAAAACCAGCCCAACUAUCAAAAUAUCUUAAUUGAAAAUGGUAUCUCUGAACCCGCAUAUGUGCACCCCAUCGGAGAAGGGCAAUUAGACGACACAGCAGUGUACCAGAAUACUUCGGAAACAGACCAAGAUAUCCCAGAUUAUGAAAAUGUAUUUACAGACACCACAGCAUGCCAACAAUCAGAAUACGCAAAUUGUGACUUCAUAGAGGAUGAUGACGAUGAAGGUGAUUACGUGAACGGUUAAAGAUCGGAGCAAGGAAACACCAUCAGAAGAACUCUGCAAAGAUUCAACAGACUCUGAAACGUUUCUUGAAUGUGCUGCACAGUCCUCUUGGGAAAUAAUUGCCUGAUGCUGAACAUGUGGCCCGCUAGGAAACCCCCCUCCCCCCAUAGAUCUGGUUAUUCACUACGAAGCUGGAGCAUUAGCUGCGCAUUACGUACCCUGCUCUGACCACUAGGUAGUGCUGCUACUUUCCACUGAAUGUCACACGUGAAGUAAUUCAUGUUGUGUUGUGCGUGUGAUUCAGAUUUAAGGCGAUUUUAGAAGGUCAGUGGUUCCACAAGUUGAAUGAGUGCCGGAGGCAGUUUGUACAGCCAUUAAUAUACACAGCUUUAAACAUUAUUACAUAUUUUUGAAAUACAGAAUAUUUAUGCAUAUUUCUUGCAGUUUCUCAAUUAUAAAACGUGCCAAACAAUCCUGUAAGCUGGCAAUGGAAAAACUUGAGCCGUGUAUAAUCCUCGCAUCACGUACGGAUUUUUAUUACGAAACUACUAUCACAAACAAACAUAAGCAUAGAAUAAAUGACCAUACAAUCAGGAAGUAUGGCCUGGGUUACUUUCAAUUUUAAGUGACCGAUUUGCGUUGCCUCUGCAUUUCCGUCCAUUUAUCACGGUCCCGUUGAUCCGGCGAUGACGACGUUCCCCCACUGUAGUGCCAGCUCGGUGUUGGGUGACAGUAAGUGCACUUGAGUGGAGUAGGACAGCGGCAGCCAAGGAGAUUAGGGUCUAACUGGCAUUGGGUGACGCUGUCUUGGCGCAGAGUCGACCCAGGAGCCCUGCCAUCUGUAGCAAGGAGUUGACACCUUCUGCUACUUUCAUAUGAGUAUAGCCGAUCUCCUAAAGACAGAGGAACAUUCCGGCAGUUAAAGUCUGGCUACUGCAGUGCGAUGCUCUGGCCUGUCAUCCUUCUAUAGUCGUUAAUAUAAAAAUCUAAUUUUCAGAACGAAACGAAUCUGGCAAGAUGUCAUUCUGGUGGACCAAUUGAUCUGAACUUGAUGGCCUGGCAUCGGUUUACCUUGAUGAACUCCAGCUUCAGAUACUCUGGCAUCUGGAAUGUCUUACAUACUCUGAAGAUGUUCCCAAUUAUAUCUUCGGGCGAGUAGCCAAGUGACCAGAGUUGCUCGAUGAUCUAAAAAGGGACACACAAAAAAAAAAUAAAAAAUGAAAGGGUGAGCCAAGUCGCUUCAGAUUUGGCGGGAGCCGUCGUCUUCAGCAUGAUACCUUGUAGGCUUCAUCGAUGUCAGCGUUCACACAGUGUUCCAGCAUGCUUUUCACAAGCAGAGGGUGGGGCUCGUCACAGACCUGGCGAGGACCAAACUCACAGAAUGAGACUCUCUCUGUCACUGGUAUGAAAUCCCAGUGGAAUCGUGCCCAGCGAGCAAUACCUUGAACACAUUCUCACUGCUGACAAAGCUAAAUCCAGAAUGCGUUGACUGCAAAUUAUUUAGCGCCUGUGAAAGACACAUACAUUGUUUAAUUAUAUUAUAACUUCAAGAUUAUUGGAUACAAUGAGUUUUUCUUUUUAAUAAACAUUUGUGAACCUGU